GGUCACGCUGGCGGCGUGCCUAUACAUGCAAGUCGAACGAGUUCUCGUUGAUGAUCGGUGCUUGCACCGAGAUUGAACAUGGAACGAGUGGCGGACGGGUGAGUAACACGUGGGUAACCUGCCCUUAAGUGGGGGAUAACAUUUGGAAACAGAUGCUAAUACCGCAUAGAUCCAAGAACCGCAUGGUUCUUGGCUGAAAGAUGGCGUAAGCUAUCGCUUUUGGAUGGACCCGCGGCGUAUUAGCUAGUUGGUGAGGUAAUGGCUCACCAAGGCGAUGAUACGUAGCCGAACUGAGAGGUUGAUCGGCCACAUUGGGACUGAGACACGGCCCAAACUCCUACGGGAGGCAGCAGUAGGGAAUCUUCCACAAUGGACGCAAGUCUGAUGGAGCAACGCCGCGUGAGUGAAGAAGGCUUUCGGGUCGUAAAACUCUGUUGUUGGAGAAGAAUGGUCGGCAGAGUAACUGUUGUCGGCGUGACGGUAUCCAACCAGAAAGCCACGGCUAACUACGUGCCAGCAGCCGCGGUAAUACGUAGGUGGCAAGCGUUAUCCGGAUUUAUUGGGCGUAAAGCGAGCGCAGGCGGUUUUUUAAGUCUGAUGUGAAAGCCCUCGGCUUAACCGAGGAAGCGCAUCGGAAACUGGGAAACUUGAGUGCAGAAGAGGACAGUGGAACUCCAUGUGUAGCGGUGAAAUGCGUAGAUAUAUGGAAGAACACCAGUGGCGAAGGCGGCUGUCUGGUCUGUAACUGACGCUGAGGCUCGAAAGCAUGGGUAGCGAACAGGAUUAGAUACCCUGGUAGUCCAUGCCGUAAACGAUGAAUGCUAGGUGUUGGAGGGUUUCCGCCCUUCAGUGCCGCAGCUAACGCAUUAAGCAUUCCGCCUGGGGAGUACGACCGCAAGGUUGAAACUCAAAGGAAUUGACGGGGGCCCGCACAAGCGGUGGAGCAUGUGGUUUAAUUCGAAGCAACGCGAAGAACCUUACCAGGUCUUGACAUCUUUUGAUCACCUGAGAGAUCAGGUUUCCCCUUCGGGGGCAAAAUGACAGGUGGUGCAUGGUGUCGUCAGCUCGUGUCGUGAGAUGUUUUUUCCGCCGGGGGGGCAAUAAA
rnacentral:rRNA from 2 species